GGCUUCUUGAUCCUAUGUGUUGUAUUGAGUGUUGGUCACUGGUCUUUGGGAAGCUUGGACAGAAGUGGGGCAGCCAUGGAGCUGCUGACUGGGACUGGCCUGUGGCCCGUGGUCAUAGUCACAGUCAUCUUCAUAUUACUGGUGGACAUGUUGCACCGGUGCCAGCGCUGGACUUCUUGCUGCCCACCAGACCCUGUGCCAUGGCCUGUGCUGGGUAACCUGCUGCAGGUGGACCUGGAUAACAUGCCAUAUAACUUGUACAAGCUUCACAACCGCUAUGGUGACGUGUUCAGCCUGCAGAUGGGCUGGAACCACAUGGCCGUGAUCAACGGACUGAAGGUGUGGUCCUUGCUCCUUAUGGGCCUGAGUGGAAAGAGCAGAGGUGAUUCUCUGCGUCGACCCUGUGCAACUUCAGCCUGGGCAAGAAAUCACUGGAGCAGUGGGUGAUGGAAGAGGUUGGACACCUCUUUGAUGUCUUCACUGCCCAUGCUGAGGAGGCUGUAGACAAGAGAUUUGGAAAGAACACAUCUAGAAGUGUCCACCACAGUAAUAGGAGCCUGGAGAUUGACAUACAGCAAAAGGAAGUGAGAAGCUGACCAAGGUCAGGGCUUCUAGAAGCUGAGACCCUGGCCCUCUGCCCACAUGGAACAUCUGUGAGAUUUUCCAGGGUUGGCUGACAAAGUCUUCCCUGGGCAAAAGACAUUUCUCAUAAUGGUGGAUAAGCUGGUGACUGAGCACAAGAGGACCUGGAACUCGGACCAGCCGCCUCGAGACCUGACUGAUGCCUUUAUGGCUGAGAUGGAGAAGGCAAAGGGAAACCCUGAGAGUAGCUUCAAUGAUGCAAAUCUAUGUCUGGUUGUCCUUGACCUGCUGGGUGCUGCAACUGUGACCACCUCAACCACACUGUCCUGGGCCCUGCUGCUUAUGAUCCUGCAUCCGGAUGUGCAGUGCCAAGUACAACAGGAAAUCGAUGAGGUCAUUUGGUAUGUGUGGCUUCCAGAGAUGGCAGACCAGGUCUGCAUGCCCUUCACCAAUGCUGUCAUUCAUGAGGGCAUGACUCUCAUCUCCAACCUGUUCCGUGCUGAAGGAUGAGACUGUCUGGGAGAAGCCCCUUCGCUUCCAUCCUGAACACUUCCUGGAUGCCCAGGGCCACUUUGUGAAGCCUGAGGCCUUCAUGCCAUUCUCAGCAGGUGCCUCUAGGGUGCCUUCCUGCCUAUCUUUCCCUAGGGUGCCUUGGAGGGUGGAGCACCAAUCAGGUCCCAGACUGAGCCCUCUUCUACACAUAGGCCACAGAUCAUGCCUGGGGGAGCCCCUGGCCCUCAUGGAGCUCUUCCUCUUCUUCACCUGCCUCCUGCAGCGCUUUAGCUUCUCAAUGCCAGCUGGACAAUCCCUUCCCAGUGAUUAUGGCAUCUAUACAAUGCCAGUUACUCCAGCACCUACCAGCUCUGUGCAGUGGUUUGCUAGCAGGGGCAGUGGCUCCAGCCAUCAUCACAGAUUGUUCUGACUGAUGUCCAAUAAACAAGUUUUGUGUCUGAAUCUCA
rnacentral:lncRNA from 1 species